CAGAGAAAAGUAGAAGAAAAGAACCAUCCCCAUACAAGCUGGUGUUAAGGAAACCUUGGGGUGGGGGGAGUGGUGGUUUCCUGAGGAAGGGAAGCAAGGCCCCACCCCAGAUGAGUAGGGGAGGGGGCUGGGCGGUCAUAAUUCAUCUGGCAGAAACAGCAUUCCAGACGUCUUGUUACAGGAUCAGGCGGAGCACCGAGUCCUGCAGAGCCCUCCAGCCAGGGAACAGUGCUCACAGAGGCCUUCCCCACAGUGCCUGCACCCGGGGGGUCACAGAAACACCCCAGGAAUUCCGCAGGGAAGAGAGCAAAGGAGGGAGAGGCAUUGCCAUGUUCAAACUGAAGAGCAGUUACAAAGCAAGAAGAAAAAUGGCCUUGUACAAACAUUUUAAAGAGGGGACCAGGCAACGGAGCAUCCAGGUAAGUGCACACACUACAGUGCACAAGGACCAAGGUUCAAACCCCUGGUCCUCACCUGCAGGGGAAUGCUUCAUGAGCGGUGAAGCGGGGCUGCAGGAGGGGUUCUGCGGAUCAAGGCCAGAGCUUCAUGUGUGCAAAGUCCAUGUUCCAUCAUGAGUUACAUGCUUCGUGCAUGCAAAGUCCAUGUUCCAUCGUGAGUUACAUGCCUGCCUUCCAACACAGUGGAUUUGAUAAGAAGUUUCGACAGUCACAGGAAAAUUAAUAUUCAUGGGCUGAAAAUGGCAUGAAAUGCCUAACAGUUUCUAGAAGUGAUCUUUAGCAGACUUAGAGCUCAUAGCUCUAGUAUCUAUGAGUUGGAUUCUUGCACCAAAAAGAAAAAAAAAAACUUUUUUUUUCCAUGGUGAGAUAAUAAAAUGAAUUAUAAUUUCUGUUA